UACAGAGGUGGCAAGCGUUGUUCGGAAUUACUGGGCGUAAAGGGCGCGUAGGCGGUCUUAUAAGUCUCGUGUGAAAUCCCUCGGCUUAACUGAGGAACUGCACGGGAUACUGCAAGACUUGAGAUCGGGAGAGGGAAGCGGAAUUCCGGGUGUAGCGGUGAAAUGCGGUAGAUAUCCGGAGGAACACCGGUGGCGAAGGCGGCUUCCUGGACCGACACUGACGCUGGAGACGCGAAAGCGUGGGGAGCGAACCGG
rnacentral:rRNA from 1 species